rnacentral:tRNA from 1 species
GCAGAUGUGGUGGAAUGGUAGACACGCGGGCUUGAGGGGCUCGUGACGAGAGUCGUGUGAGUUCAAAUCUCAUCAUCUGCACCA